UACGGGGGGGGCAAGCGUUGUUCGGAAUUACUGGGCGUAAAGGGCUCGUAGGCGGCCAACUAAGUCAGACGUGAAAUCCCUCGGCUUAACCGGGGAACUGCAUCUGAUACUGGAUGGCUUGAGUUCGGGAGAGGGAUGCGGAAUUCCAGGUGUGGCGGUGAAAUGCGUAGAUAUCUGGAGGAAUACCGGUGGCGAAGGCGGCAUCCUGGACCGGCAUUGACGCUGAUGAGCGAAAGCUAGGGGAGCAAACGGG
rnacentral:rRNA from 1 species